ensembl:lncRNA
GUGGCAGUACCUCCCUGUGCACAAACCAGCAUGCCCUACAAAUGAAGCAGUGGACAGGUCUGAGCAGAUCUGUGCAAGUGCUGUAGCUUCAGAAGAUGAAAACUGCAAAUCAGAAAGCAUUGCAAAGACUGGGGCAGGAAAAGAAAAUGCAAGAACAAGGCCAUGGACAUGAAGAACUGGGCUACAUUUUUGGAAUUCAGUACUUAAAGAAAUUUUCUAUUAAUCAGACUUACAAAUUAUAUUAAUAUGAAGAGAAGGCCUUUCAGUAGUAGAAGGAAGCUUAUGAACAGGAGGGAAGCCAACCUUAUUUACAGUCUGAUCAGAAGAAGAGCAUUGUGUCCUGAAGACCAAUUUGAGAUGCAUAAAGAUUUUAUCAGUAAUGUGCACACAGCUCUGUCAUUGCUGCUGGAAGGAGAUCAAAAUAUGAGAAGUACAGAUGAAGACUGAUGCUGAUGAAUGGAGCUAACUACCUGCUGCCAGUUUCACAGUAGUGUCUUCUUGCUAGAGAGUAUAGGAUAGCUGAUACUGUCACAGGAAAAAGUAAGCAAGGAGGUCAUGUUUUUUUGUAAUCCUACGCAAUUACAUGCUUUGUUUUUUUCAGGACUAACUUCUUACCUCUCGUCACAGCACUCAUGAUUAUUAUGGCCUUUAGAAAUUUACUUCUGGCAGGAGGACUUCGGAUUUGCAUGUCGUCAUAUAUUAAAAUUUUUCAGUAGUAAUCUUGUAUGUGCUUAUGACAUGCAUGAAUGAGCAAAAACAUUUGACUUGCAAUUGUUAUCCUUAAAUAAUUAUUUAGGGACAAAUAAGUGGCACACCUUAUGUAAAGCAAAGAAUUUACAUUUAGUAUAAUUGAGAGUUUAAUCAUUAUCAUUCCAGAUCUAAUUAUUGCAAUGAUGAUAAUGAUAGUGAUGAUAAUGAUGACAAUAGUGAUGAUGAUGGUAAUGCAGUUAUUAUACACUCACUUUUUCAUUUCCUAUCUCUUUUGCUGGUGUUAUGCUCACUUUUCCUCAGUGCCUCUUGUUCUUAAGGCUGGUAGUUUUGUCCUGCUCAUGGUGGGGUGCUAUUUCUUCACUGGUAGGAAUAGGUUGUUCAUGUCUUAAUGUUUAUUUUUUUUAUUUCUUCCUUUAGGGUUCACCUGUGGUAAGUUUUCUAUGGUUACUUACAGGCUUUUUCAACUUUGUUCUUUCUUUAUUGGUCUGAAAAUGUGAUGUCUGACUUUAUUAUGGUGUCCACCGCAAAAUUCUUUGUUCUCUUAUCCCUAAAAUAAGGUUUGGGUUUUUUUUUUUUUUUUCUCCUUAUUCAGCUGUUUGUUUGUUUUCUGGGUCCAGUCAUUUAUUUAACUCGAUGAGUUAACACUGAUGAAUUGUUCAUACCCAUUGAGUACCAGUGCCAGUCCUCUGGCCAGUCUUCUACCCCACUUCCUCUUCACCCAAUGCCUCUAUAGCAUGUACCAUGCCUCUACUCUUUCUAGCCUCUCCUAUUUUGCUAGAUCUUUAAUUCUGUAUACAAUAUUAUUAUGCUAGAGUUGUAGAUAUCUAAUUCUACACAAAAUAUUGGCUUGUUACUGAUGUCUGUGCAACACUGUGGGUGUAUCUUAUGAAGAAGGCAAAAUUGCUCUCACCACUAAACCAAGUGAAACAAAGAAUUUUGGGCGGGAAAUCUAUCAUUGUUCAGUCCUGAAGAUUUUAAAUAGAACAUACAUGGACUGUUAUCAGCAAUGGCAAUAUUAUAUUACAAGGAUACACAGUUUCAAAAUGCCUGGAUUAUUGCAAUAAAGAAGCCUAUGAAAAUUGUUUCUUUUUCACCUCGAGGUAUGUCAGCAUUAACACCUCAGCCUUGAAGCUAGUUAUCUCCUGCAAUCCAGGAUUCUGGGGAGCAAGUAUCCCUACUGCAAGAUUUGUUGCCAAUGUUCUCUUGAAACAAUAAAAAAAUUCUCAUUUUUGAAACAAAUAAAAAAAUUCUUUUUUCAGAAAGACUAAUUUUUUUGGUUUUCUCUCUUUUCAUCUGCUCAGAACAGUAUUCGAAUUCACUACUUUGUUUAGGAAACUUUUUUAUUUUUACAAACUGUGGCCAGUGGGUUUUCUAUUUAUAGGAAUACAGCAAGCAAUGGUGCAUCAAAGGUCAUAGAUCUGCUCUUAAAAAAUGACAGUCUUUAAUGUCCGUAUAGUUUCCUACUUAUUUCGCAUUGAAUCCUGCAGCAUCUUUUUUCUUAUUCAAUGAUUUUGAUACAACCUAGCUUAGAAUCCAAUUCUGUUUUGCAGAUGGACAAUGAAAAUUCAUCCUUUUUUCCUUCUCACCAAAUGAAAACUAUUUGGACAUCUAGUUCAAUUUCUAGAGCAGAAAGAAAUGUUUGUGAAGUGG